GACGAACGCUGGCGGCGUGCUUAACACAUGCAAGUCGAACGGAAAGGCCCUGCUUUUGUGGGGUGCUCGAGUGGCGAACGGGUGAGUAACACGUGAGUAACCUGCCCUUGACUUUGGGAUAACUUCAGGAAACUGGGGCUAAUACCGGAUAGGAGCUCCUGCUGCAUGGUGGGGGUUGGAAAGUUUCGGCGGUUGGGGAUGGACUCGCGGCUUAUCAGCUUGUUGGUGGGGUAGUGGCUUACCAAGGCUUUGACGGGUAGCCGGCCUGAGAGGGUGACCGGCCACAUUGGUACUGAGAUACGGCCGAGACUCCUACGGGAGGCAGCAGUGGGGAAUAAUGCACAAUGGGCGGAAGCCUGAUGCAGCAACGCCGCGUGCGGGAUGACGGCCUUCGGGUUGUAAACCGCUUUCGCCUGUGACGAAGCGUGAGUGACGGUAAUGGGUAAAGAAGCACCGGCUAACUACGUG
rnacentral:rRNA from 1 species